rnacentral:misc_RNA from 1 species
GAUGAAGAACGCAGCAAAAUGCGAUAAGUAGUGUGAAUUGCAGAAUUCAGUGAAUCAUCGAAUCUUUGAACGCACAUUGCGCCCGCCAGUAUUCUGGCGGGCAUGCCUGUUCGAGCGUCAUUUCAACCAUCAAGCCCCCGGCUUGUGUUGGGGACCUGCGGCUGCCGCAGGCCCUGAAAACCAGUGGCGGGCUCGCUAGUCACUCCGAGCGUAGUAAUACAUCUCGCUCAGGGCGUGCUGCGGGUUCCGGCCGUUAAAAAGCCUUAUUUACCCAAGGUUGACCUCGGAUCAGGUAGGAAGACCCGCUGAACUUAAGCAUAUCAAUAAGCGGAGGA